rnacentral:rRNA from 1 species
GGAUACGACCAUCCUAAAUCGAAAAUACCGCUUCCCGUCCGAUCAGCGCAGUCAAGCGAUUUCAGGCCUGUUCAGUAGUUCUCUGGGUGACCACGAGCGAAAGAUUGGUGUUGUAUUCU